rnacentral:misc_RNA from 1 species
UCUAAACCAAAAGGGAGUGCACUUAAUUGUGGCUCCAAACUUUUAUUUUUAACCCCAACACUUGUUUGUGUGACAUUUGUCAUUGCACUCAGGUAUAACUAACAGCCUUUUUGUUACAUUACCCCCCCUCACAAUUUUUUUUUUAUUAUUAAACACAAGUUGAAUUAAGAAUGUAAACCCCUAUUAUUUUUUAAA